rnacentral:rRNA from 1 species
UACGUAGGGUGCAAGCGUCAAUCGGAAUUACUGGGCGUAAAGCGUGCGCAGGCGGUUGUGCAAGACAGAUGUGAAAUCCCCGGGCUUAACCUGGGAACUGCAUUUGUGACUGCACGGCUAGAGUGUGUCAGAGGGGGGUAGAAUUCCACGUGUAGCAGUGAAAUGCGUAGAGAUGUGGAGGAAUACCGAUGGCGAAGGCAGCCCCCUGGGAUAACACUGACGCUCAUGCACGAAAGCGUGGGGAGCAAACAGG